GUCUUCUGGAAGUGUUCUGUGAUUCCUAGAACAUGGAAGGAGUGGGAGAGUAGUUUCCACUGAUGUCUGAAGAGAUAGCGGUGACAGGCACUGCCAGGUCAGGAUUUCACCUUGCACACAUUCACUUUAAGAUGUGGCCUCUGGAAACAAGUUUUUUCAAGAACUGAAGAAUUUCUAUAUUCAUGAUACUAAAUUGUCUCUUCACACCCAAACUUGAACAACAUGGAGAUUAAUGGGACUGCAGUAGAGAAAGGCCUGUUCUUUCAUUCAUCUCCUUCCAGACCUAAGUGGAACACAGUACUUCAAUCAAACUGACUGGAAUUUCUAUAUGACUUUAAGGCUUACAAAAUGCUGUUCUCUCCAUAACCCUGUGAAGCAGGCAUUUAUGCUCAUUUUUCAGGUGAGAUAAUUGAGACUCACAGAAGAGGUGUGAAUUGUCCAUGAUCAAACACAUAGUCAAUGUUAAUGUCAGAACAUAAAGCCAGGCAUCUUGACUCGAGGCCCAGGGUCUGGGUGCAUGAUAGCAGGUAGAGGGUCAUCCAUAUAAAAAGUCAGGAACAAAGUCAGGCAUGAAUGAAUGAAAUUCAAAUUUAAC